rnacentral:rRNA from 1 species
UGCGCAGGCGGUUUCUUAAGUUAGACGUGAAAGCUCCUGGCUUAACUGGGAGAGGUCGUUUAAAACUGAGGGACUUGAGGCAAUGAGAGGGGUGCGGAAUUCCCGGUGUAGUGGUGGAAUGCGUAGAUAUCGGGAGGAACACCAGUGGCGAAAGCGGCACCCUGGCAUUGGUCUGACGCUGAAGUACGAAAGCGUGGGGAGCGAACG